rnacentral:rRNA from 1 species
AUGGCGAGAUGGCGGCGGUCGAGGUUGGUGGAGCCGGUCGAUGCCGUCUUUGUGGUGCUGCACCCGACGAACGGGGACUCGAAGAAGACGCGGUGGUCGACGGGGGUCCGCCUGGACAACUCCUCCAACGCCGGGGACUACGCAGGCCGCGGCAAUGGCGAUGACACACACAACCACAUCGCGAUCUCGCGAGCUCGUUUUUGA